rnacentral:tRNA from 1 species
GUUGUAGCUCAGUGGCAGAGUGCUUGUCUAGCAUGCAUGAGGCCCUGAGUUAGAUCCCAGCAUAAUA